rnacentral:rRNA from 1 species
UACGGAGGGGGCUAGCGUUGUUCGGAAUUACUGGGCGUAAAGCGCACGUAGGCGGCUUUGUAAGUUAGAGGUGAAAGCCCAGGGCUUAACCCUGGAAUUGCCUUUAAGACUGCAUCGCUAGAAUCGUGGAGAGGUGAGUGGAAUUCCGAGUGUAGAGGUGAAAUUCGUAGAUAUCGGGAGGAACACCAGUGGCGAAGGCGGCGACCUGGACGGACAUUGACGCUGAGACGCGAAAGCGUGGGGAGCAAACAGG